GAUGAACGCUGGCGGCGUGCCUAAUACAUGCAAGUCGAGCGAACAGACGAGGAGCUUGCUCCUCUGACGUUAGCGGCGGACGGGUGAGUAACACGUGGAUAACCUACCUAUAAGACUGGGAUAACUUCGGGAAACCGGAGCUAAUACCGGAUAAUAUAUUGAACCGCAUGGUUCAAUAGUGAAAGACGGUUUUGCUGUCACUUAUAGAUGGAUCCGCGCCGCAUUAGCUAGUUGGUAAGGUAACGGCUUACCAAGGCAACGAUGCGUAGCCGACCUGAGAGGGGGAUCGGCCACACUGGAAGUGAGACACGGUCCAGACUCCUACGGGAGGCAGCAGUAGGGAAUCUUCCGCAAUGGGCGAAAGCCGGACGGAGCAACGCCGCGUGAGUGAUGAAGGUCUUCGGAUCGUAAAACUCUGUUAUUAGGGAAGAACAAAUGUGUAAGUAACUAUGCACGUCUUGACGGUACCUAAUCAGAAAGCCACGGCUAACUACGUG
rnacentral:rRNA from 1 species